AUUGAACGCUGGCGGCAUGCCUUACACAUGCAAGUCGAACGGUAACGGGCCUUCGGGUGCCGACGAGUGGCGAACGGGUGAGUAAUGUAUCGGAACGUACCUUUCAGUGGGGGAUAACGUAGCGAAAGUUACGCUUAAUACCGCAUAUUCUGUGAGCAGGAAAGCAGGGGAUCGCAAGACCUUGCGCUGAUUGAGCGGCCGAUAUCAGAUUAGCUAGUUGGUGAGGUAAAGGCUCACCAAGGCGACGAUCUGUAGCGGGUCUGAGAGGAUGAUCCGCCACACUGGAACUGAGACACGGUCCAGACUCCUACGGGAGGCAGCAGUGGGGAAUUUUGGACAAUGGGGGCAACCCUGAUCCAGCCAUGCCGCGUGAGUGAAGAAGGCCUUCGGGUUGUAAAGCUCUUUCGGCCGGGAAGAAAUCGUAUGGGUUAAUACCCUGUGCGGAUGACGGUACCGGCAUAAGAAGCACCGGCUAACUACGUG
rnacentral:rRNA from 1 species